rnacentral:tRNA from 1 species
AAGAGAUUAGUUAAAACAUAACAUUAAUUUGUCAAAUUAAAAUUAUUAAUAAAUAUCACUUA